rnacentral:lncRNA from 1 species
CUCUUAUUUUCACUUGGUGUGUUUCUACUUAACAAAAAUGUGUUUCUUGUAAACAACAUAUGGAAGGAUUUUGUUUUUUAAUCCACUCAGCUUUCUGUUUUAUGGGUGAGUUCAUCUCAUUUACAUUUACACUUAUGAUCGUCAUCUAUGAAUUCUCCUGCAUUUUGAUUUCCUCUUUUAAUAUUCUCCAUUCUCCAUACCUGUGUUAUGCUUUUAGUUACUCUUUCCCUUCCCCCCUCCAUUAUAUUACUUUCUUCCCCAUCAUCCAUUUUCUUAUUCCUCUUCUACCUCUCUAUGGAAUAAGAGAGGAUUCUAUACCCCAAUAAAUCUGGUUGUCUUCCCUCUCUGAGCCAAUUUCAGUGGCAAUAAGGUUUAAGUACUACCUGUUGCCACCCUCAGUCCCCCUUCAGUGAGUUUUCCCCCCUACACCUCUUUUUGUGAUAUAAUUUACUCUAUUCCUCUCUUCCCAUUUCUCUUAGUACAAUCCCCUAUUUCAGAUCUAGUUCUUUUUUUUAACAUAUCAUCUUAAACAGUUUAUGACCACAUUCUCUGUCUAUGUAUACUUCUCCUAAAUACUAUGAGAAUGAUAAAAAAAAUUUUAAGAGUUACAGAUAUCUUUCUAUAUGAGAAUAUAAACACUCAGGCACUUACUAGCUAUGUGACUGUGGGUAAGUCAUUUAACUCCCAUUGCAUAGCCCUUACCACUAUUUUGCCUUAGAACCAAUACAAAGUAUUGAUUCUAAAACAGAAGGUAAAGGGGGGUUGUCAGAUGCUGACAGCUAUAGAAUUACAAGAUCCAUUGAGAAACAUGAGAUUAUGGAGUGAAAUGGGUAGGACGAAAAGAACACAAUAUACAGAAGGAGGCGGAGUCAAGAUGGCAGCUUGGAAGGAGAAGUUCAGACCUCUGAAUACCCUUCCUAACCAAUCAUAAUUGAAUGCUCCCAGAGGCCUGAAAAACAAACUUAAGAACAAGACAUAGCCAAGGAACCCUCUUGCUAGACUUAAUUCAAAAGGUAUGCCCCCCCCAAAGCCUGAAUCCGAGAACACUUGGAU